rnacentral:rRNA from 1 species
UGCCUACGGGGGGCAGCAGUGGGGGAUAUUGCACAAUGGGGGGAACCCUGAUGCAGCGACGCCGCGUGAGUGAAGAAGUAUCUCGGUAUGUAAAGCUCUAUCAGCAGGGAAGAAGCAAGACGGUACCUGACUAAGAAGCCCCGGCUAACUACGUGCCAGCAGCCGCGGUAAUACGUAGGGGGCAAGCGUUAUCCGGAUUUACUGGGUGUAAAGGGAGCGUAGACGGCGAUGCAAGUCUGAAGUGAAAGCCCGGGGCUCAACCCCGGGACUGCUUUGGAAACUGUAUGGCUGGAGUGCUGGAGAGG